rnacentral:rRNA from 1 species
AGAGUUUGAUCAUGGCUCAGAUUGAACGCUGGCGGCAGGCCUAACACAUGCAAGUCGAGCGGAUGAAGGGAGCUUGCUCCUGGAUUCAGCGGCGGACGGGUGAGUAAUGCCUAGGAAUCUGCCUGGUAGUGGGGGAUAACGUCCGGAAACGAGCGCUAAUACCGCAUACGUCCUGAGGGAGAAAGUGGGGGAUCUUCGGACCUCACGCUAUCAGAUGAGCCUAGGUCGGAUUAGCUAGUUGGUGGGGUAAAGGCCUACCAAGGCGACGAUCCGUAACUGGUCUGAGAGGAUGAUCAGUCACACUGGAACUGAGACACGGUCCAGACUCCUACGGGAGGCAGCAGUGGGGAAUAUUGGACAAUGGGCGAAAGCCUGAUCCAGCCAUGCCGCGUGUGUGAAGAAGGUCUUCGGAUUGUAAAGCACUUUAAGUUGGGAGGAAGGGCAGUAAGUUAAUACCUUGCUGUUUUGACGUUACCAACAGAAUAAGCACCGGCUAACUUCGUGCCAGCAGCCGCGGUAAUACGAAGGGUGCAAGCGUUAAUCGGAAUUACUGGGCGUAAAGCGCGCGUAGGUGGUUCAGCAAGUUGGAUGUGAAAUCCCCGGGCUCAACCUGGGAACUGCAUCCAAAACUACUGAGCUAGAGUACGGUAGAGGGUGGUGGAAUUUCCUGUGUAGCGGUGAAAUGCGUAGAUAUAGGAAGGAACACCAGUGGCGAAGGCGACCACCUGGACUGAUACUGACACUGAGGUGCGAAAGCGUGGGGAGCAAACAGGAUUAGAUACCCCGGUAGUCCAA